CCUCCAUAAAGAAAUCAAAUCACCGCCAUUACCAUUGCUUUUUCUAACUACGUCUGCCUACGAGUUUGAGCUUUCACAUCCUUCAAAAGGCGGUAAUAGUGGCAAAAUCGAUAAGAUUUUCAGAGGGAAACGUGACACGAUGCACGGCGUGCCUUGGAGCAAGUAGCCAUAAAAUAACGUAGAACCGGUAAAGAUGACAGAUUUAUUUCUCUUUGUAUCUUUGCAUUAGAGUACCAGGAACAUCCUACCUUCAAUAAAUAAGCAAAACGAGACAUUUUGAGCAUUAAAACUCGCUCGUCU